UUCUUAACGAACUAAUCUUAAGUAAAAUCUGCUCAAUGAAUUAAAUAGCCGCAGAACUUUUACUGUGCUAAGGUAGCAUAAUCAUUAGCCUCCUAAUUAGAGACUAGUAUGAAAGAUUUAACAAUCUAAGUCCUAUACUUACCUCCUCCCUUAAACUUAUAUUAAAUGUAAAAUACAUUUAUUUUCAAAAUAGACGACAAGACCCCUUCAAACUUAACUUUAGUUUUGCUGGGGCAGCAAAUUAAAUAUAACUUUAAUUAAUUUAAUUCAAUAAAUGACCCAAUCUCAUUGAUCUCAUGAACAAGUUACUGUGGGAUAACAGCGUAAUAUUCUUUUAAAGUCUUAUCUAAAAGAAAGUUUACGACCUCGAUGUUGAAUUAUUUAUCUAUCUAACGCAAGAGUGUGCUCAGAUGGUCUGUUCGACCAUUAAAUUAUUACA
rnacentral:rRNA from 1 species